rnacentral:lncRNA from 1 species
UAUUAUUUGCAAAGAGAUAUUACAACUUAUAAUCUUCUUUCAUGGGUUUAUGUUGUUAGUGUUUAAUCAGGCGUGUGAGUGUAUUCAGGUGUUAAACCAUUCUAUUAGCUAGGAAAAUUGCACUAUUAUUUACUGAGCUGUUUGUGAUAUAUUGUUGUUGGAUUUUUUUAGUUUCUAUUUCUUGUCUUCGUGCAGUUUAAGUAAUUGUCCUUUCUACUUUUGUCUUGUACAAAGGCUUGUAAAGUGUCACUAGGGCAAAUAAGCCAUGUUAAAAAUCAGGGUUGCUUUUUUUUUUUUUUUCAGAUGUUAUAUGAAUUAAUCUUGAUCCUGUCUUGUCAUCACAUCACAGCAGAAAAUCCAGGAUAAGCCCUGCAAGAGGUGAGACCAAAGUAUAAUGACUGCAAGAAAUUCAGUUUGAAACAGCCAUCCAAACGACACCAGUCAAACCAAGUGAUAAGAGAAAUACCGGAGUCUGGCAGUGGAUUGAUCCUGCAUGGGUGGAAGAGCAGGCAAGACAUUGCUAUGAAGGAAAGACUGACAAUCAGAAAGGGACACCACUACUUCCCCGGGUAAUCUUGAAGGACUUGAAGGACACAAACUGGAUGACAAGAUGGUAUUUCUGUGGAUGGUUAACACAGUCUGGAUCUUAGAAGUAUACCAGAGGAUCAAGUUUUAUAGCUUAUACAUACCAAAGUAAGAUAAAAGCAUCCAAACACAGCAAAGCAGUGAUGUGCUCAGGAGAAGAACAUAACUUGGUGAGUUCAAUUAAAUAAAGUGGUGUAGAAAAAUGACCUCCCA